AUGGUGGAGGCUACUAGAACGAAGAGACAUUUUUUCCGAAUAAACGUGGUGAGUGAAAAACGUAAUUACAUAGCUCACUCCCUACCCGGUAUCUCAUUCUACUGUUAUACGACUCUGUAUGCGUUGCUUGUUGGCAACCUAUUUACGAAGUUUUUGGAACGGAUUCCUGUUGGAACGUUCCACAAAUUAUACCCACCCAUCAGUACUUGCUCCUUUUCUCACUCACCUCCAUUGUCACCUGCUCUCCCUGCCCUGUUGGCAUCCUCAUGCUCUCUCUCUCCCUAUUCAGAACGCACCAGAGUGAACAUGAAAUAAAUAUUAUCAGUAAACAAGUACACCACUUGUUUACUGAUAAUAUUUAUUGAAUGUUCACUCUUGCCAUGAUGUUCAGGAAUAGAUUACUAACCAAUAAGCCCGCGUGAGUUACCAUUGUUGAUCGCUGGGUGAAUGUUUGGCUAAUGAACUUUCCAAGUGAGUUAGUAUGAUAGCUAACGUUAGUGAUGGUUGAUUGAUUAGCACUCGCAAAUCGGCCCGUUUUUACCAAAAACGUUUAUUUCCACUCCAUGCAAUUACUGACACUUUUUUGCAAAUAUUUAUUUCCACAAUUACAGUCCCGCUCAAAAUGACGUGUGACGUCAAAACUAUCAGAAUCGACAGUGAAAUAGCCUACGUAACACUCAUAUUACAUUAUAGUUUUCCACUUGUUAAUACAUUUGAAAGUAAUGAAAUAGAAAGACAGUACAGUGUUUAACAUUGAUUAUAUCUACCCACAGCAGUCGAGCAACGGCUUCUGCUGGAGUACGGCAAAACCACUUGGACAAGCCACACGCAGAAUUGCAGUACACCGUAAUACUAGAACCGGUAGUAAUAAUAAUGGCAAUUUGUUAAGUUAUAAUUAUGAUGACAUUUGCUAAUGAUUAUUUCAGACGGCGAUGCGUGGUUGCCUGUCGUAGCAUAGCAAAAAAAAAAAGUUUAUAUUUUUUAUAUCAAGAUGGGGGGGCAUUUUGAGCAUAUUUUAAUGAGUAAAUAACCUCAUGUCACAGUGAGCAAGGUUUACGUACAAUUCUAAUAUAUAUUGGGGGCCACCCCAUAUAUUAUAAUUAUGGCCCAGGUGCACGUAAACAUUACUCGCUGUGACAUGAGGUUAUUUACUCAUGUUCAUGAGUUUCAUGAACACAGAAAUUGCACUCCCAGACCACCAGGAGGCAAUGUCUGACACAAAAUACACUUCUAGAGACGGAGUGACCAAAUAAUGCAUACCAAAAGCAGUUCAUUUGCAUCCUCUCAUGUCUACUAAUUACCUAAAAAAACUGCAAACCCAGUCCUGAAAAGCAAGAAAACAAACAGUUCUCAUACCACCAUGCUGGACUAUUGGACCCAGGUGUGGAGGAGACAGUAUAAAACAUCAUACCAUUUUUAUGACAAAACCUGUUUUUUAGGGCAGAUAGAGAUUUUAAAAAUGGCUACUCUUGUCAUCUGAGCUUCAUUGAUUUGACCUUGGACCGUGUUGUUUUUUCUCUGAGUGAGUUCUCAGCUAGCCAUCGGGGCUACCAGGGAGGUCUAAAUUGAAUGUUUUCAGAAUUAGUUAUUACCUAAAGAUGAACCUUACCAAGGUUAAGGCCAUUCACUCAGACAUCACAAACACCACUGGUCCUGGAAAGCUGCAGGAUGUUUCAGAUGGGUCAGAAUAGAGAAGAGUACACUUUUGGAAUGAUCUACAAUUACGCUUUGGUUUGUUCAACCUAUUCAGUUUGUCUGAAAUCAAAUAAAGAAUUUGUCAGAUCAAUGUGAUUUUUGGAAUUGAAUGAAAGCUUCUUAAUUGCUUUCAACACCUCAUGUGCAUUGAAAAGCGAUGGGGGCAAUGUAGCGGCAGCAGCCAAUCAGAAGAGUUGGGGGCGUGGUUUAUUGGGGGCGUGGUUUUCAGUUUGUUCUUUUUUUGUUUGUUGUCAUUCCAGUUAAUCUGGUCUAUUGUAUUUGUUUUUCCAAUUUAAACCUGAAUACUGCCAUCUUCUGUAAAGAUACUGCCAUAAGAGCACAACUAA
rnacentral:lncRNA from 1 species